rnacentral:rRNA from 1 species
CGUGGUGGACCUGGUCGACGGCAUCGCCAAGAUCGUCGGCAAGGUGCAGGCGGGAUACGUGUACGUGGACGGCCUCUCGGUCGGCGAUGUCACGGAGACCUCGCUCAAGGACCGCCGCAUCCUCGGCGACGAGGGCAUCAUCUCGAUCUUCGUGGUCGUCGACAGCACGACCGGCAAGAUCGUGGGCGGUCCGCAUAUCCAGGCGAGGGGCUCCGGUAUCGAGGACUCCGCCUUCUCCGCGGUCAUCCCGAGGAUCGAGGAUGCCCUGGUCAAGUCGGCCUCCGACGGGGUCGUGGACCCGCACCAGCUCCAGCAGCUGGCACGCCGCGCGGUCGGUAAGUGGGUCUCCGACAGCUACCGUCGCCGCCCGAUGAUCCUUCCCGUGGUCGUCGAGGUCUGACGUCACGUCUGACACCCCCUCAGCACCACACCGGCGCUGAACACCCGGCGGGGCUCCUCGAUUUGCAUCGAGGAGCCCCGCUCCAGUACGUUUACGGCUCCGCCAGAGGGGAACCCGGAGCGCUCAACGGCCUUCGGAGGAGCCCACCGGCGGGGGUGGAAAUCGACUCGGAGAAAUUCUGAUAAAGUCGACGAAGCCGAAAGGCAAGGCCCUCCAACGGCCACCGGGAACGGAAUUCGGAUCGGAAACGACCGGAAAUCGGAUCUGGUAAGGUUGGAAACACCGAAGGGAAGCGCCCGGAGAAGCCGGUGAAACGGUUUCGAAGGAAGCGUCCGUUCCUUGAGAACUCAACAGCGUGCCAAAAGUCAACGCCAGAUAUGUUGAUACCCCGUCCAGGUUUGGACGAGGUUCCUUUGAAGAAAAACACAGCGAGGACGCUGUGAACGGGCCGGGUUAUUCCUCUGGUUCCGUUCCGCUCUCGUGAUGUGUUGCCGGGAUAUCCCGGAAGCAUUCACGGAGAGUUUGAUCCUGGCUCAGGACGAACGCUGGCGGCGUGCUUAACACAUGCAAGUCGAACGAUGAACCGGUUUCGGCCGGGGAUUAGUGGCGAACGGGUGAGUAACACGUGGGCAAUCUGCCCUGCACUCUGGGACAAGCCCUGGAAACGGGGUCUAAUACCGGAUAUGACUGCCGACCGCAUGGUUUGGUGGUGGAAAGCUCCGGCGGUGCAGGAUGAGCCCGCGGCCUAUCAGCUUGUUGGUGGGUGAUGCAGCAUGUGGUCCAACGGCCGCUGUGAUGGGUAGGGGAGCGUCGUGUGCCGGGUGAAGCAGCCGUGUAAGCGAGUUGUGGAUGGUUCACGAGUGAGAAUGCAGGCAUGAGUAGCGAUACACACGUGGGAAACGUGUGCGCCGAUUGACUAAGGGUUCCUGGGUCAAGCUGAUCUGCCCAGGGUAAGUCGGGACCUAAGGCGAGGCCGACAGGCGUAGUCGAUGGACAACCGGUUGAUAUUCCGGUACCCGCUUUGAAACGCCCAGUAUCGAAUCCUCUGAUGCUAAGGCCGUGAAGCCGUCCUGGAUCCUUCGGGUGAAGGGGAGUGGUGGAGCCGCCGGUCCAAGGUGGUAGUAGGUAAGUGAUGGGGUGACGCAGGAAGGUAGUCCAUCCCGGGCGGUGGUUGUCCCGGGGUAAGGGUGUAGCCCGAGGGGUAGGUAAAUCCGUCCCUCUUGUGGGUGAGACCUGAUGCCGAGCCGAUUGUGGUGAAGUGGAUGAUCCUAUGCUGUCGAGAAAAGCCUCUAGCGAGUUUCAUGGCGGCCCGUACCCUAAACCGACUCAGGUGGUCAGGUAGAGAAUACCGAGGCGUUCGGGUGAACUAUGGUUAAGGAACUCGGCAAAAUGCCCCCGUAACUUCGGGAGAAGGGGGGCCAUUGCUGGUGAUGGGAUUUUCUCCUUGAGCUGGUGGUGGCCGCAGAGACCAGCGAGAAGCGACUGUUUACUAAAAACACAGGUCCGUGCGAAGCCGUAAGGCGAUGUAUACGGACUGACGCCUGCCCGGUGCUGGAACGUUAAGGGGACCGGUUAGUCACAUUUCGGUGUGGCGAGGCUGAGAACUUAAGCGCCAGUAAACGGCGGUGGUAACUAUAACCAUCCUAAGGUAGCGAAAUUCCUUGUCGGGUAAGUUCCGACCUGCACGAAUGGCGUAACGACUUCUCGACUGUCUCAACCAUAGGCCCGGUGAAAUUGCAUUACGAGUAAAGAUGCUCGUUUCGCGCAGCAGGACGGAAAGACCCCGGGACCUUUACUAUAGCUUGAUAUUGGUGUUCGGUUCGGCUUGUGUAGGAUAGGUGGGAGACUGUGAACUCUGGACGCCAGUUCAGGGGGAGUCGUUGUUGAAAUACCACUCUGGUCGUGCUGGAUGUCUAACCUGGGUCCGUGAUCCGGAUCAGGGACAGUGUCUGGUGGGUAGUUUAACUGGGGCGGUUGCCUCCUAAAGGGUAACGGAGGCGCCCAAAGGUUCCCUCAGCCUGGUUGGCAAUCAGGUGUUGAGUGUAAGUGCACAAGGGAGCUUGACUGUGAGACCGACGGGUCGAGCAGGGACGAAAGUCGGGACUAGUGAUCCGGCGGUGGCUUGUGGAAGCGCCGUCGCUCAACGGAUAAAAGGUACCCCGGGGAUAACAGGCGAUCUUCCCCAAGAGUCCAGUAUCGACGGGAUGGUUUGGCACCUCGAUGUCGGCUCGUCGCAUCCUGGGGCUGGAGUCGGUCCCAAGGGUUGGGCUGUUCGCCCAUUAAAGCGGUACGCGAGCUGGGUUUAGAACGUCGUGAGACAGUUCGGUCCCUAUCCGCUGUGCGCGUAGGAGUCUUGAGAAGGGCUGUCCCUAGUACGAGAGGACCGGGACGGACGAACCUCUGGUGUGCCAGUUGUUCUGCCAAGGGCAUGGCUGGUUGGCUACGUUCGGGAGGGAUAACCGCUGAAAGCAUCUAAGCGGGAAGCCUGCUUCGAGAUGAGGACUCCCACCCACUUGAUGGGUUAAGGCUCCCAGUAGACGACUGGGUUGAUAGGCCAGAUAUGGAAGCCGGGUGACCGGUGGAGUUGACUGGUACUAAUAGGCCGAGGGCUUGUCCU